AGACUUGGCAGGGGAGAUAGCAUGAUCACGAAGGUGGUUUUCCCAAGGCAAGAUUUAUUCACUGCACUCUGGAUGUGCUGACCCCUACGAUUUCCGCCCAAUGGGGAAGCUUGACUGCUUAGUUUGUUGUGGCAGGGGACUGUGUUCACACUUUUCCCGG
ensembl:snRNA RNU1-98P RNA, U1 small nuclear 98, pseudogene